rnacentral:rRNA from 1 species
UAGGGAAUCUUCCGCAAUGGACGAAAGUCUGACGGAGCAACGCCGCGUGAGUGAAGAAGGAUUUCGGUUUGUAAAACUCUGUUGUUAGGGAAGAAAAAAUGUAUAGUAACUAUAUACAAAAGAGACGGUACCUAACCAGAAAGCCACGGCUAACUACGUGCCAGCAUCCGCGGUAAUACGUAGGUGGCAAGCGUUGUCCGGAAUUAUUGGGCGUACAGCGCGCGCAGGUGGUUUAGAAAGUCUGAUGUGAAAGCCCACGGCUCAACCGUGGAGGGUCAUUGGAAACUAAUAAACUUGAGUGCAGGGGAGGAAAGUGGAAUUCCUAGUGUAGCAGUGAAAUGCGUAGAGAUUAGGAGGAACACCGGUAGCGAACGCGGCUUUUUGGCCUGCAACUGACGCUGAGGCGCGAAAGCGUGGGGAGCAAACAGG